rnacentral:rRNA from 1 species
CCCCCCUACGGGGGGCAGCAGUGGGGAAUAUUGCGCAAUGGGGGAAACCCUGACGCAGCAACGCCGCGUGCGGGAUGAAGGCUUUCGGGUUGUAAACCGCUUUCAGCAGGGAAGAUAAUGACGGUACCUGCAGAAGAAGCCCCGGCUAACUACGUGCCAGCAGCCGCGGAAAUACGUAGGUGGCAAGCGUUAUCCGGAUUUAUUGGGUGUAAAGGGAACGCAGGCGGUCUUUUAAGUCU